rnacentral:rRNA from 1 species
AACGAACGCUGGCGGCAGGCUUAACACAUGCAAGUCGAGCGCCCCGCAAGGGGAGCGGCCGACGGGUGAGUAACGCGUGGGAAUCUACCCAACUCUACGGAAUAACGCAUGGAAACGUGUGCUACUACCGUAUACGUACUUCGGGUGAAAGAUUUAUCGGAGAUGGAUGAGCCCGCGUUGGAUUAGCUAGUUGGUGGGGUAAAGGCCUACCAAGGCGACGAUCCAUAGCUGGUCUGAGAGGAUGAUCAGCCACACUGGGACUGAGACACGGCCCAGACUCCUACGGGAGGCAGCAGUGGGGAAUAUUGGACAAUGGGCGCAAGCCUGAUCCAGCCAUGCCGCGUGAGUGAUGAAGGCCCUAGGGUUGUAAAGCUCUUUCACCGGUGAAGAUAAUGACGGUAACCGGAGAAGAAGCCCCGGCUAACUUCGUGCCAGCCGCCGCAGUAACAC